GACGAACGCUGGCGGCGUGCCUAAUACAUGCAAGUCGAACGCAGUGGUGACUGGUGAGUAACACGUGGGUAACCUCCCCUCAGUGGGGAUAACACUUGGAAACAUGUGUUAUACCGAUACAGCUGGAUGGUCCCGGGGUGCAUUAGCUAGUUGGUGAGGUAACGGUUCACCAAGGCCACGAUGCAUAGCUGGCCUGAGAGGGGGAUCGGCCACACUGGAACUGAGACACGGCCCAGACUCCUACGGGAGGCAGCAGUAGGGAAUCUUGGGCAAUGGGCGAAAGUCUGACCGAGCAACGCCGCGUGAGUGAAGAAGGUUUGCGGGUCGUAAAGCUCGGUUGGUGGAGAGGCGGUAUCUAACCAGAAAGCAACGGCUAACUACGUGCCAGCAGCCGCGGUAAUUC
rnacentral:rRNA from 1 species